AAACAAGAAGAAGCUACACGAACAUGAGGAGCAUGUUGUGUUUAUCGCUUCGGAGGAGGACAUUGUGUCUAUUGCUUCAAAGGAGGAUAUUGUGUAUAUCUCUUCAGAGGAGGAUGUUGCGUCUAUCGCUUCGGGGGUGGAUGUUGUGUUCAUCAUUUUGAAGGAGGAUGUUGUGUUUGUCGCUCUGGGUGAGGAUGUUGUGUUUGUCGCUCCGGAGAAGGAUGUUGUGUUUGUCGUUUCGAGACAAAGUUAAAGAACCCUCUUUGAUUAUCCAUUACCUGAAAAUUUAAGUCAAUUUCUUAAGUUAACACAAAACAAUAUCCAGAAAGACAUAAAAAUACAUCAUAUUAAAUAACAUCACAACAAAAUCUAAGAAUACAAGUAAUCUUAAAACAAAAUAGAAACCUAAACCACGGACAACAAAUUGAAAUGAAUCAAAGUGCCUCAAUUGGUAGAUAUUAUCAAAGUGCUACAUUCGACUCUUCACAUCCAUCAAUAAUGGGUGUCCAACCGAC
rnacentral:lncRNA from 1 species